rnacentral:rRNA from 1 species
UACGUAGGGUGCAAGCGUUGUCCGGAAUUAUUGGGCGUAAAGAGCUCGUAGGCGGUUUGUCGCGUCUGCUGUGAAAACCCGAGGCUCAACCUCGGGCCUGCAGUGGGUACGGGCAGACUAGAGUGCGGUAGGGGAGAUUGGAAUUCCUGGUGUAGCGGUGGAAUGCGCAGAUAUCAGGAGGAACACUAAUGGCGAAGGCAGAUCUCUGGGCCGUAACUGACGCUGAGGAGCGAAAGCAUGGGGAGCGAACAGG